AUUGAACGCUGGCGGCAGGCCUAACACAUGCAAGUCGAACGAGUGGCGGACGUGUGAGUAAUGUCUGGGAAACUUCCUGAUGGAGGGUGAUAACUACUGGAAACGGUAGCUAAUACCGCAUACCAUCAGAUGUGCCCCGAUGGGAUUAGCUAGUUGGUGGGGUAACGGCUCACCAAGGCGACGAUCCCUAGCUGGUCUGAGAGGAUUACCAGCCACAACAGAACUUGGACCCUGUCCAGAGUCCUACGGGAGGCAGAGGUGGAGAAUAUUGCCAAAGGGGAGCAAGCCUGAUGCAGCCAUGCCGCGUGUAUGAAGCAGGCCUACGGGUUGUCAAGUACUUUCAGCGGUGAGGCGUUACCCGAAGCAGAAGCCCCGGCUAACUCCGUGCCAGCAGCCGCGGUAAUAC
rnacentral:rRNA from 1 species